GGUGCCUCCCUGACUCAACUACAUCCCACAGCAUCAACAAGAUUGCAGAAGCAUGACAGAAUGGCUCUAGAGACCUGCUCUACAGAAAAAUAGCUCCUAUCUUCAAGCUGGCCAGAGAUUGUUCCACAACCACAGAAGUGCUGGGGAGAAGAAGAAACAGAAAAUUUACUUCUUAGCUGCAGUGACUAUUUCCAAACCUGACAAAUGCAUUUUAAAAUACAAAACAUCAGUUGUGACGUAGGCUCUAAGUUAAUCUAUGAGAUAUGGGUGAAGUGUCAGCUCAUAAAGAAAGAAAACACAAGAGGACGACAAACUUACUUUAAAAAGCAGCUGAGCCUAUUG
rnacentral:lncRNA from 1 species